rnacentral:rRNA from 1 species
UACGGAGGGUGCAAGCGUUAUUCGGAAUCAUUGGGUGUAAAGCGCGUGUAGGCGGCUGGGUAAGUUAGAUGUGAAAGUUCUGGGCUUAACCGAGAAAGUGCAUUUAAAACUGCCUGGCUUGAGUCUCGUAGAGGAAGGUGGAAUUCCCAGUGUAGAGGUGAAAUUCGUAGAUAUUGGGAGGAACACCGGUGGCGAAGGCGACCUUCUGGGCGCAGACUGACGCUGAGACGCGAAAGCGUGGGGAGCAAAC